UCGACGACCCCAGCUCCGGCGGUCCCGAAUUCCAGGCGGCGCUCGUGGAAAGUCCCGACGGGAGCUACGCGUGGGGCUCUUCCCGGUGGAUUACGACGCGUCCACGAGCUACUGCGCGGCGUUUUCCAUGGAGAGCCUGCCGUCGCCGCGGUUCCUCUCCUCCAUCCGGCAGGAACGAGCGGGUGGCGUACCAGGCCGCGCGAACACGCUCGAACUUGGUGGAUCCGUUAGAAGUCUAUGCCAUACACUGCCACGGUGUUGUUGUGGUCGGCGAGAAGUGGUGGCAGCAUGAGCGGUGAGUGAACUCCACCACGUCGUGAGCGGGUUCCCGUGGCUUGCGGCUUGCUGCUUGGCCUCGUCCGCCAGCGGCACUGGGAGGCUUCGCAGUGGGCCGGCAUCGGGUGGGCUUCUCGCCGUUCUCGGCAGGCGGUAGGCGGCGUGUAGGUGCGCCGGUCGUCCUCAACGUCAGAUUACGGCAGCGAUUUUUCUUGCUGCCGGCGGCGGUCCGCGGCCAUGGUUUGGAUCUUCCUCAUCGGUCUGGCGUGCAGGGACGGUCAAGAGCAAUUUUGUAAUCACUCCCUGGUGGCUGCGAGCGGCAUCGGCAUUGUGCUCAGCUGUGGGCAGCCCCAGCACUACUGUGGGUCCUUCCAUUGCGGCGGAGCAUGCCUGUGGGUUUUGGCUUAAGUGUGGUGAGCGGCGUGUUGCAGGCGCGUGAUUACUGUGGGCAGCAUCCGUAUCCUGGUUGGGCAGCGUGGCAGGUGCUGGCUGUGGGCGGCAUCAUGGUGAGCGGUGGGCGGCCUCAGCCCUCUGGGUCGUUUCGCGGCAGGUGGAGCAGCACGCUAGUGGUAUUCGAUAUGAGAUAUGGCGGUUGCCAUUUCUUUCUGGCCAUUUCUUCAUUCAGAAACGCUUCAUCCUAAAAAUCAUAUUCUGAAUUGUUCCAGUGCAAGAAUGAUGCAUGACAUCUAUGUUACAUUUUGUAAUUCAUCUUUUAUGUCCCACUGUAUACCAUAUAUCAUGUGGUAUGAUGUGCUUGUGUGCGACAACAUAAUAUCUUUGUAAGAAGGAACUGAUGUAAUUGCAAGUUCCAGUUCCCAGAUUAUAUGUAGCAGAUUAAAAAUUCUGUUUGUAAAGCUGAAAGGUCCUAGAAACUGAA